GAUGAACGCUGGCGGCGUGCCUAAUACAUGCAAGUCGAGCGAACAGACGAGGAGCUUGCUCCUCUGACGUUAGCGGCGGACGGGUGAGUAACACGUGGAUAACCUACCUAUAAGACUGGGAUAACUUCGGGAAACCGGAGCUAAUACCGGAUAAUAUAUUGAACCGCAUGGUUCAAUAGUGAAAGACGGUUUUGCUGUCACUUAUAGAUGGAUCCGCGCCGCAUUAGCUAGUUGGUAAGGUAACGGCUUACCAAGGCGACGAUGCGUAGCCGACCUGAGAGGGUGGUCGUCCACACGUGACAUGGGACCCGGUCCAGACCCCGCGGGGGGGCACAAGUCGGGAUUCUUCGGGAAUGGGGGAAAGCCUAACGGGGCAACCCCGCGGGAGGAAGAAAGGGUUUCGGCUCGUAAAACCUUGUUAUUAGGAAAAAACAAAUGGUAAAGGAACAAUGCCCGUCUUGCCGGUACCAAAACAGAAAGCCCCGGCGACCUACUU
rnacentral:rRNA from 1 species